rnacentral:rRNA from 1 species
UACGUAGGGGGCAAGCGUUGUCCGGAAUUAUUGGGCGUAAAGAGCGUGUAGGCGGCCAGAUAAGUCCGCUGUGAAAUCUCGAGGCUCAACUUCGAGCUGUCGGUGGAAACUAUCUGGCUAGAGUCCGGAAGAGGAGAAUGGAAUUCCUGGUGUAGCGGUGAAAUGCGCAGAUAUCAGGAGGAACACCGGUGGCGAAGGCGGUUCUCUGGGCCUUACCUGACGCUGAGGAGCGAAAGCGUGGGGAGCGAACAGG